rnacentral:rRNA from 1 species
CACGCCGUAAACGAUGAUCACUCGCUGUUAGCGAUACACAGUUAGCGGCUAAGCAAAAGCAUUAAGUGAUCCACCUGGGGAGUACGGCCGCAAGGCUGAAACUCAAAGGAAUUGACGGGGGCCCGCACAAGCGGAGGAACAUGUGGUUUAAUUCGAUGAUACGCGAGGAACCUUACCUGGGCUUAAAUGUAGAGUGCAUGAGGUAGAAAUACUUCUUUUCUUCGGAACUCUUUGCAAGGUGC